UAAAUAGAAGCCAAAAAGAGGCACCUAACUGUUAAUUAGAUCAAUGUAUUUACCUAUUUAA
rnacentral:tRNA from 1 species